rnacentral:sRNA from 3 species
AUGUGCCCACGUACACUCCGGUUCCUCCGCGCCGUCCGCACCCACCUGACGGCUGCUCGCUACGUUUUUGUUAGCC